AUUGAACGCUGGCGGCAGGCCUAACACAUGCAAGUCGAACGAGUGGCGGACGGGUGAGUAAUGUCUGGGAAACUGCCCGAUGGAGGGGGAUAACUACUGGAAACGGUAGCUAAUACCGCAUACCAUCGGAUGUGCCCAUAUGGGAUUAGCUAGUAGGUGGGGUAAGGGCUCACCUAGGCAACGAUCCCUAGCUGGUCUGAGAGGAUGACCAGCAAAACUGGAACUGCGACACGGUCAAGACUCCUACGGGAGGCAGCAGGGGGGAAUAUUGCACAAUGGGCGCAAGCCUGAUGCCGCCUUGCCGCGUGGAUGAAGCAGGCCUUCGGGUUGUAAAGUACUUUCAGCGAGGAGGCGUUACUCGCAGAAGAAGCACCGGCUAACUCCGUGCCAGCCGCCGCGGGAAUUC
rnacentral:rRNA from 1 species